UGAGGAAUCCAAGGUGAUCGGGAUGAUUGAGCCUCUUGAUGGAGUGGAGGUAAAUGAGUAUGGACAGAUUACUGCAAAGGAUGAUGACCGAACGGAACAAGAGAAGAAUUGAUGAGACAAGAUGCUGAUGAAUGAUAACGACGUGGGAACCGAGAUCAACUGGAAAAUUACAAAGACUUUGGACUGGGAUAAUGGGUGGUAAAAAGGUAUACAAGACUGAUAAAAUUUUGGAGGGUUGCCAUUCACUGCGGUGGUGGCCCAACUCUGAGUUGUUAAUAAAGCAAACCUAGAGAAACCCAUGACUGAGAAUUCUUUAACAGUCUGUCAAAAGAUCGAAGUUGUGGUGUAGAGAUUAGCCAGUAAUCACAGCCUAGUAAAUC